AUGAUUAAGAGCUUGCUCUUAUGAUUAGUGGCGCACGGGUGAGUAAUAUAUAGGUAAUGUACCUCUUAGUCCGGGAUAGCCACUGGAAACGGUGAUUAAUACCGGAUACUCCUUUCAUUUCAAGAUGAAUCGGGAAAGUUUUCGCUAAGAGAUCGGUCUAUAUCCCAUCAGCUUGUUGGUAGUGUAAGAGACUACCAAGGCUAUGACGGGUAGCGGGUUUGAGAGGAUGAUCCGCCACACUGGUACUGAGACACGGACCAGACUCC
rnacentral:rRNA from 1 species